rnacentral:rRNA from 1 species
GAUGAACGCUGGCGGCGUGCCUAAUACAUGCAAGUCGAGCGAACGGAUGAGAAGCUUGCUCCUCUGAUGUUAGCGGCGGACGGGUGAGUAACACGUGGAUAACCUACCUAUAAUACUGGGAUAACUUCGGGAAACCGGAGCUAAUACCGGAUAAUAUUUUGAACCGCAUGGUUCAAAAGUGAAAGACGGUCUUGCUGUCACUUAUAGAUGGAUCCGCGCUGCAUUAGCUAGUUGGUAAGGUAACGGCUUACCAAGGCAACGAUGCAUAGCCGACCUGAGAGGGUGAUCGGCCACACUGGAACUGAGACAAGGUCCAGACUACUACGGGAGGCAGCAGUAGGGAAUCUUCCGCAAUGGGCGAAAGCCUGACGGAGCAACGCCGCGUGAGGGAUGAAGGUCUUCGGAUCGUAAAACUCUGUUAUUAGGGAAGAACAAAUGUGUAAGUAACUGUGCACAUCUUGACGGUACCUAAUCAGAAAGCCACGGCUAACUACGUG